rnacentral:rRNA from 1 species
CAGCAGCCGCGGUAAUACGUAGGUCCCGAGCGUUGUCCGGAUUUAUUGGGCGUAAAGCGAGCGCAGGCGGUUAGAUAAGUCUGAAGUGAAAGGCAGUGGCUCAACCAUUGUAGGCUUUGGAAACUGUUUAACUUGAGUGCAGGAGGGGAGAGUGGAAUUCCAUGUGUAGCGGUGAAAUGCGUAGAUAUAUGGAGGAACACCGAUGGCGAAAGCGGCUCUCUGGUCUGUAACUGACGCUGAGGCUCGAAAGCGUGGGGAGCGAACAGGACUAGAUACCCCAGUAGUCCCUGUCUCUUAUACA